UGGGGAAUAUUGGACAAUGGGCGCAAGCCUGAUCCAGCCAUGCCGCGUGAGUGAUGAAGGCCCUAGGGUUGUAAAGCUCUUUCACCGGUGAAGAUAAUGACGGUAACCGGAGAAGAAGCCCCGGCUAACUUCGUGCCAGCAGCCGCGGUAAUACGAAGGGGGCUAGCGUUGUUCGGAUUUACUGGGCGUAAAGCGCACGUAGGCGGACUUUUAAGUCAGGGGUGAAAUCCCGGGGCUCAACCCCGGAACUGCCUUUGAUACUGGAAGUCUUGAGUAUGGUAGAGGUGAGUGGAAUUCCGAGUGUAGAGGUGAAAUUCGUAGAUAUUCGGAGGAGAACCAGUGGCGAAGGCGGCUCACUGGACCAUUACUGACGCUGAGGUGCGAAAGCGUGGGGAGCAAACAGG
rnacentral:rRNA from 1 species